rnacentral:rRNA from 1 species
UACAGAGGGGGCAAGCGUUGUUCGGAAUUACUGGGCGUAAAGGGCGCGUAGGCGGCCUUCUAAGUCGAACGUGAAAUCCCCGGGCUCAACCCGGGAACUGCGUCCGAUACUGGAAGGCUUGAAUCCGGGAGAGGGAUGUGGAAUUCCAGGUGUAACGGUGAAAUGCGUAGAUAUCUGGAGGAACACCGGUGGCGAAGGCGACAUCCUGGACCGGUAUUGGCGCUGAGGCACGAAAGCGUGGGGAGCAAACAGG